AAAGAUCGAUACAGACUUGAUGGAACGAAGAUAUGAAGAUUUUCUUGGACCCAAAGGCAAAGAACGAUACCGAGAAUAAGCUGGAGACUUUUUCUGGGGUAUACAGGAAGCUUUCAGGGAAAGAUGUCGUCUUUGAAUUUCCGAUAACUGAGGCUUGAAGAACUCUUUAACGCUUCUAGAUUUAUUUUUAGUGCUCGUAUUUGUUAAAAGAUUCACUUUUUUUAUAUUAUGAGCUGUCUGAAGUUUUGACUCGGAGAAAUCUAGAUGUAUGCUCAUUUUUGUUGAGAAAUGUUGGAACAAACUGGUUAUCUUUUGUUGAAAUUCAAAUUAUUUAUCUUUUCUUUAUUUUA